rnacentral:ncRNA from 1 species
AUCGGUUCUCCGAUGGGGAGAUUAAUAGGGAAUCGGGUGAGAAUCCUGAACAGUCCCGCUGCUGUAAGUCGUCCUUUCGAGGCACAAACACGUAUGUCACUGAGAUUAUUGGGAAGACGUUUGUAGCUAGGCGAUAAGUCAGAAUACCUGCCGAUGAAGA